rnacentral:lncRNA from 10 species
GUUGCCUUAGAUUCAAAUAUUUAUCACAAAUUUCAUGAAUAACUCUUUGCAAUUUAAGAAAUAGAGAGUGCAUAUAGUAGCAAGGGAAAAGCUUAACGUCUCUACUAAAAAAUACAAAAAAAAAUUAGCUGGGCAUGGUGGCGGGUGCCUGUAGUCCCACUACUCGGGAGGCUAAGGCAGGAGAAUGGCGUGAACCCAGGAGGUGGAGCUUGUAGUGAGCCUAGAUCACACCACUGCACUCCAGCCUGGGUGACAAAGAAAGACUCCAUCUCAAAAAAAAAAAGAACUAUCUGCAGAAAUAAUGGCUUUUCUGCAGAGAUUAUGCCUUUCUUUCUUCUCCAAAUUUCUAGCAAUAUGAAUAAAAGACCCUAGAGUAAAAGGCAUAGGUGUAAAUGCAGUCCCUCAAGACUAAGAAAG